UCGAAUCCUGCAUAGCAGAAUGACCCGUGAACUAGUACCAAUAAUAGGGCUUGGCGGGGAUCGAAGCUUAUGUUUCGACCCUCGCGAAGCCUCGCUGACAUGUGUUCAUGGGCCUCUUUGGGGCUUCAUGGACAUAAAGUUGGCACAACAACAACCCCCGGCACGACACGUGCCAAGGAACACUAAACUUAAGAGCGCCCGUGCCAUGAUGCCCCGUUUCUGGUGUGCUCGUUGUGCGUGGCUUCUUUGUAAUAUAAAACGACUCUCGGCAACGGAUAUCUCGGCUCACGCAUCGAUGAAGAACGUAGCAAAAUGCGAUACUUGGUGUGAAUUGCAGAAUCCCGUGAACCAUCGAGUUUUUGAACGCAAGUUGCGCCCGAAGCCAUCUGGUUGAGGGCACGUCUGCCUGGGCGUCACGCAUCACGUCGCCCCCACCAAGCAUCCCUUCUUGGGACGCGUUGGACGGGGGCGGAGAUUGGUCUCCCGUGCAUGUGGCGCGGUUGGCCUAAAUAGGAGCCUCCUCAAGAGGGACGCACGGCUAGUGGUGGUUGAUUGAUAAGACAGUCGUCUCGUGUCGUGUGUUUUGAUCCUUGAGGAAGGAACUCUUAAGAUACCCCGUCGCAUCGUCUUUUGAUGAUGAUUCGAUCGC
rnacentral:rRNA from 2 species